rnacentral:rRNA from 1 species
GCUUGUCUCAAAGAUUAAGCCAUGCAUGUCUAAGUAUAAGCCUUUAUAUGGUGAGACUGCGAAUGGCUCAUUAAAUCAGAAACUGUUUAUUUGAUAGUGCCUACUACAUGGAUACCUGUAGUAAUUCUAGAGCUAAUACAUGCUGAAAACCCCAACUUCGGGAGGGGUGUAUUUAUUAGAUAAAAAACCAACGCCCUUCGGGGCUUCUUGGUGAUUCAUGAUAACUUCACGGAUCGCAUGGCCUUGCGCCGGCGACGGUUCAUUCAAAUUUCUGCCCUAUCAACUUUCGAUGGUAAGGUAUUGGCUUACCAUGGUUUCAACGGGUAACGGGGAAUUAGGGUUCGAUUCCGGAGAGGGAGCCUGAGAAACGGCUACCACAUCCAAGGAAGGCAGCAGG